rnacentral:rRNA from 1 species
UACGUAGGGUGCGAGCGUUGUCCGGAAUCAUUGGGCGUAAAGAGCUCGUAGGCGGCUCGGUAAGUCGGGUGUGAAACCCCCAGGCUCAACCUGGGGACGCCACCCGAUACUGCUGUGGCUAGAGUCCAGUAGGGGAGUGUGGAAUUCCCGGUGUAGCGGUGAAAUGCGCAGAUAUCGGGAGGAACACCAGCGGCGAAGGCGGCACUCUGGGCUGGAACUGACGCUGAGGAGCGAAAGCGUGGGUAGCAAACAGG